rnacentral:rRNA from 1 species
GACAGAGGGUGCAACCGUUGUUCGGAUUUACUGGGCGUAAAGCGCGUGUAGGCGGCUUUGCAAGUCGGAUGUGAAAUCCCACGGCUCAACCGUGGAAGUGCAUCCGAAACUGCAUCGCUCGAGUCUCGGAGAGGAAGGUGGAAUGCUUGGUGUAGAGGUGAAAUUCGUAGAUAUCAGGAGGAACACCGAUGGCGAAGGCAGGUCUCUGGGCCACUACUGACGCUGAGAAGCGAAAGCAUGGGGAGCGAACAGG